rnacentral:ncRNA from 1 species
UUAAAUAUAAACUAUAUAGGUUGUAUUACAUACAUUAAAAGGGAAAUAGGUUAAAAUCCUAUGCGGUCCCGCCGCCGUUAAGACGAGCUAUUUUAAUUAUGCCACUGGUAAAACUCUGGGAAGGCUAAAAUAGUAAUGACUCUAAGCCGGAAGACCUGCCUUUAUAGAAAACACUAA